AGGAGAGGAGAGGAGAGGAGAGGAGAGGAGAGGAGAGGAGAGGAAAAAGCUGAUAAGGGCUCCCUCAGUGCUCAGGAGUCAGUCAGCUGUCCUCUGUCUUCCAGAGCUAAAAGAGUAAAACUCUGAAGUACCCUCCUAAAUUUAAUCUCAACAAUGAUUUUGUCAGUUUUCUUCCUCAAACUCUUGGUGGAUUUGCUGGUUUCCACCCUUCAAAUUCUGCCCAAAUGUUGGCAGAGAGGAGUACAACCCAAAAUAUUUCUGUCCUGGGUCUCUGCUUCUGUUGCUGCUCUGCAGAAAACUUCCCUAAGCUCUGGCAUUUUCUUUGCCAUGGAAAGUGUCUUCCUUAAUUUUCUCUUUUAAUAUUUCAAGAACAGAGCUUUGGAAUUCACACUGAUCAGCUGCUGCAUUGCUCUCUGUGAGCUCCCCUUGUCCCUGCUCUCCCGUUGCACACCAGUGCUGUCCCAGAUAGCAGCUCGGGCUGCUGCUCCGUUAGGUCAAGGUGAGGAGUUUCCUGGGAGCCGAGCAAAAAGAACGGCUGCCAGAGCUCAUGAUAACCCAGUGGAGCUUUGUUUCCAUGAAAAAUGGAAAAAAUAGGAUACAAGGUGCUCUAGAAAUGAAGCAGUAUGCUCUGGAAACCUAAGGCUAAAGUGAUUUGGACUGUUUUUCAGUUACCAUAAGCAGCCAACUGAGCAAACACCACCCUGGAUGCACACUAGGAGAGCAGGUCUUGCAUGCCAGGAGUUUAUGCUUGUCAUUAUCCUCAGUCAUUUCCUUACUACCAAAGGCUUAAAAAACCGCAAGAGGUUAUCAAGGACACACGGAAAGCUGGAGUGGUUCUGCUGGCUGUGUGGAUGUGUGUUGCAACCACUAAUUGCCUGGGAAGCCAUGGAACAGGCUUGGCAGCUGUGUGGGAGGCUGGUGGGAAGAAGAGGUGUGCGCUGAUUGGCAGUACCACAGUCUGGCUGCCUCCACAGUGUUCUCCAAAGCUCUUCUCGAUCUAGUCCCCAGUGCACAAAAAAUACCUUUUUGGAAAUUAAAAGAAGAAAAAUAACAUGAUAGCACAA